rnacentral:rRNA from 2 species
GAAUAUGGCUCAGGACGAACGCUGGCGGCGUGCCUAAUACAUGCAAGUCGAACGAACUCUGGUAUUGAUUGGUGCUUGCAUCAUGAUUUACAUUUGAGUGAGUGGCGAACUGGUGAGUAACACGUGGGAAACCUGCCCAGAAGCGGGGGAUAACACCUGGAAACAGAUGCUAAUACCGCAUAACAACUUGGACCGCAUGGUCCGAGUUUGAAAGAUGGCUUCGGCUAUCACUUUUGGAUGGUCCCGCGGCGUAUUAGCUAGAUGGUGGGGUAACGGCUCACCAUGGCAAUGAUACGUAGCCGACCUGAGAGGGUAAUCGGCCACAUUGGGACUGAGACACGGCCCAAACUCCUACGGGAGGCAGCAGUAGGGAAUCUUCCACAAUGGACGAAAGUCUGAUGGAGCAACGCCGCGUGAGUGAAGAAGGGUUUCGGCUCGUAAAACUCUGUUGUUAAAGAAGAACAUAUCUGAGAGUAACUGUUCAGGUAUUGACGGUAUUUAACCAGAAAGCCACGGCUAACUACGUGCCAGCAGCCGCGGUAAUACGUAGGUGGCAAGCGUUGUCCGGAUUUAUUGGGCGUAAAGCGAGCGCAGGCGGUUUUUUAAGUCUGAUGUGAAAGCCUUCGGCUCAACCGAAGAAGUGCAUCGGAAACUGGGAAACUKRRGYRCAGAAGAGGACAGUGGAACUCCAUGUGUAGCGGUGAAAUGCGUAGAUAUAUGGAAGAACACCAGUGGCGAAGGCGGCUGUCUGGUCUGUAACUGACGCUGAGGCUCGAAAGUAUGGGUAGCAAACAGGAUUAGAUACCCUGGUAGUCCAUACCGUAAACGAUGAAUGCUAAGUGUUGGAGGGUUUCCGCCCUUCAGUGCUGCAGCUAACGCAUUAAGCAUUCCGCCUGGGGAGUACGGCCGCAAGGCUGAAACUCAAAGGAAUUGACGGGGGCCCGCACAAGCGGUGGAGCAUGUGGUUUAAUUCGAAGCUACGCGAAGAACCUUACCAGGUCUUGACAUACUAUGCAAAUCUAAGAGAUUAGACGUUCCCUUCGGGGACAUGGAUACAGGUGGUGCAUGGUGUCGUCAGCUCGUGUCGUGAGAUGUUGGGUUAAGUCCCGCAACGAGCGCAACCCUUAUUAUCAGUUGCCAGCAUUAAGUUGGGCACUCUGGUGAGACUGCCGGUGACAAACCGGAGGAAGGUGGGGAUGACGUCAAAUCAUCAUGCCCCUUAUGACCUGGGCUACACACGUGCUACAAUGGAUGGUACAACGAGUUGCGAACUCGCGAGAGUAAGCUAAUCUCUUAAAGCCAUUCUCAGUUCGGAUUGUAGGCUGCAACUCGCCUACAUGAAGUCGGAAUCGCUAGUAAUCGCGGAUCAGCAUGCCGCGGUGAAUACGUUCCCGGGCCUUGUACACACCGCCCGUCACACCAUGAGAGUUUGUAACACCCAAAGUCGGUGGGGUAACCUUUUAGGAACCAGCCGCCUAAGUG